rnacentral:rRNA from 1 species
AUACGUAUGUCGCAAGCGUUAUCCGGAUUUAUUGGGCGUAAAGCGCGUCUAGGCGGCUUAGUAAGUCUGAUGUGAAAAUGCGGGGCUCAACCCCGUAUUGCGUUGGAAACUGCUAAACUAGAGUACUGGAGAGGUAGGCGGAACUACAAGUGUAGAGGUGAAGUUCGUAGAUAUUUGUAGGAAUGCCGAUGGGGAAGCCAGCCUACUGGACAGAUACUGACGCUAAAGCGCGAAAGCGUGGGUAGCAAACAGGAUUAGAUACCCUGGUAGUCCACGCCGUAAACGAUGAUUACUAGGUGUUGGGGGUCGAACCUCAGCGCCCAAGCUAACGCGAUAAGUAAUCCGCCUGGGGAGUACGUACGCAAGUAUGAAACUCAAAUGAAUUGACGGGG